AGUGAACGCUGGCGGUAGGCCUAACACAUGCAAGUCGAACGGCAGCACAGUAAGAGCUUGCUCUUACGGGUGGCGAGUGGCGGACGGGUGAGGAAUACAUCGGAAUCUACUUUUUCGUGGGGGAUAACGUAGGGAAACUUACGCUAAUACCGCAUACGACCUACGGGUGAAAGCAGGGGAUCUUCGGACCUUGCGCGAUUGAAUGAGCCGAUGUCGGAUUAGCUAGUUGGCGGGGUAAAGGCCCACCAAGGCGACGAUCCGUAGCUGGUCUGAGAGGAUGAUCGGCCACACUGGAACUGGGACACGGUCCAGACUCCUACGGGAGGCAGCAGUGGGGAAUAUUGGACAAUGGGCGCAAGCCUGAUCCAGCCAUACCGCGUGGUGGAGGAGGGCCUUCGGGUUGUAAAGCCCUUUUGUUGGGAAAGAAGAGCAGCAGGUUAAUACCCCGCUGUUCUGACGGUACCCAAAGAAUAAGCACCGGCUAACUUCGUG
rnacentral:rRNA from 1 species